rnacentral:rRNA from 1 species
ACGUCCCAAACCCCAAUGUGAACGUUACCAAUCUGUUGCCUCGGCGGGAUUCUCUUGCCCCGGGCGCGUCGCAGCCCCGGAUCCCAUGGCGCCCGCCGGAGGACCAACUCCAAACUCUUUUUUUCUCUCCGUCGCGGCUCCCGUCGCGGCUCUGUUUUAUUUUUGCUCUGAGCCUUUCUCGGCGACCCUAGCGGGCGUCUCGAAAAUGAAUCAAAACUUUCAACAACGGAUCUCUUGGUUCUGGCAUCGAUGAAGAACGCAGCGAAAUGCGAUAAGUAAUGUGAAUUGCAGAAUUCAGUGAAUCAUCGAAUCUUUGAACGCACAUUGCGCCCGCCAGUAUUCUGGCGGGCAUGCCUGUCCGAGCGUCAUUUCAACCCUCGAACCCCUCCGGGGGGUCGGCGUUGGGGAUCGGCCCCUCACCGGGCCGCCCCCGAAAUACAGUGGCGGUCUCGCCGCAGCCUCUCCUGCGCAGUAGUUUGCACACUCGCACCGGGAGCGCGGCGCGGCCACAGCCGUAAAACACCCCAAACUUCUGAAAUGUUGACCUCGGAUCAGGUAGGAAUACCCGCUGAACUUAAGCAUAUCAAUAAGGCAAGAGGAA